rnacentral:rRNA from 1 species
AUGUUCAAGACUAGCCAUGCACGUCUAGUACAAACUAAAUGAUGGUGAAACUGCAAAUGGCUCAUUACAACGGUUAUGAUGUACCCGGGAGUUCCGAUGGAUAUUUCCAGUAACACUAGAACUAAUACAUGUCCCUGCGUUUAUUAGUUUCGCACAGUCCGUCGCUGAGUCAUGGUAAACAGUUGAUCGACUCGACGUCCCGGAACAGUUUCCGCCCCAUCAGCUUCGAUGGUUGGGUAUUGGCCUACCAUUGCAACAACGGGUAACGAGGAAUUAGGGUUUGAUUUCGGAGAGGGAGCCUGAGAAACGGCUACCGCAUCUACGGAUGGCAGCAGGCGCGCAAAUUACCCAACGCAGACACUGUGAGGUAGUGACGAGAAAUAAUAAAGCGGGACUUCUGUUUCGCUAUUAUAAUGAGGAAUAACCAAAGGUCAUUCCGAUUAGCAACUGAUGGGAAAGUCUGGUGCCAGCAGCCGCGGUAAUACCAGCGUCAGUAGCAU